ensembl:lncRNA SNHG16 small nucleolar RNA host gene 16
GUUCUUUUCGAGGUCGGCCGCGUGGCUGGAAGACAUGGCCACUCCAGUCGGUGUUGAGCACGGCGAGCAGUCUCAGGCCUUUAGUGAUGAUGGUGCAGUCAGCCUCAGUUUCCAAAGCCGGAAAAGGAUCCUCUAGUAGCCACGGUGUGGCAGCUGCUCUGAACCAGGACCUGGACCCGGACCCAAAGUGCCAUGUCUUUAAUGUGAGUAAGUAGACGAACUGGUAAACAGGCUUGGUUUGGUUUGGGGGAGUGGUAAUCUUUUUUGCUUCCCCUGCUCUGGACUUAAAGCAAUGGGGGCAGGGAGACUUUAGUAGCAUUUUGUUGCUAGGUGUCUGCAAUAAGAGACGAAACUGAACUGCUUUGCCGGAAACAAGUGAAAUGAUUGCUUUCCUGUUUGUAAGAUUUGUUUACAUCUUUCGUAUCCGUAAGAAGUCCCACAAGCCUAUGAUGGUUAGUUAUCCCUGUCUGAAAAUCUGGACUGAGGGAAAUAAUCUAUUCUGAGGCUUAAGGGUUUGGCUCCAUGGUUUUUUUUUUGUUUUUGUUUUUUUUCCCCU